AUGAAUACAAAUAUAUUCAUUUUUCCUUAAUUCCCAAUAACAUAACCUAUCUUUAUGAAUGAAAACUAAAUGCAGAAUUUGCGACACGACUUUUCAAUAAAGCUUUAAAAGAACAACCACAAGCAUCAACGUCUGUUGAUCUUACUGAUGAAAAUCUUCAAUUUUCUGAGGCUGACACAGAUCAAUUUAUUGAUCAAGAAUUCCUCACUACAGAAGAUACUGUUUAUUCCAACUCUGAAACUCAAGAAAGCGAAGCUUCUUUGUAUAGGUGGAGCACGCCUUGUGUUUUGUUAUUAUUAGAGUCUUAUAGAGCAUUGGAAAAAGAUUUUUAUAGUGGAAAAAUAUCCCAAAAGAAAAUUUGGGAAAAAGUUGCCAAAGAAUUGAAGGUAAAAGGACAUGAUGUAACUGGACCACAAUGUUCUUCAAAGCUACGAAGCUUAAAAAAAACUUACAAAUCUAUUAAAGAUCAUAAUAAUAAAUCAGGAAAUGACAGAAGGACUUGGCAGUUUUUUGAUAAUCAAAGAAGACACCAGUUGCCACUUUAUUAGGAAAAAGACUGAAGCAAAAAGAAGAACACGAAGCACAGAAAAAUAAAAGACACAAAGAGCGAAUGGAAAUGGAUGAAAAAUUUCUCAACGUUCUAGAAAAA
rnacentral:lncRNA from 1 species